ACAAAUGAAGCCAAAGAGACACACUCUUUCUAUUUNGGCGCCUGCCUGCUAAGCAGGUGUGAUCUCACGCGUAGGUUCGAACCCUACCGUUUGCG
rnacentral:tRNA from 1 species